UCGCGGCGCUGCGCACUGCGCAGACUAGUGGCGCAGGCAGCGCGGGGAUAGCGCAGGCGCGCUGUGUGUCUCAAAAAUUGUGGAGGGUUUGGCGGGUGGCUGUGUGCUAGCUUUCCUGGGCGGUUGUUGGUGAAGCACAAGUUUUGAAGAGCGCAACCAAAGAUCCCAAAAGCAGUAACGCCAUGUCCACCAACAGCACCGAAAGCUCACAUUCACCAUCACCAGCUGGCCUGAAUGCACCACGAUACGGCACUAUGGUACCGAAGCGUAUAUUCGUCGGAGGAAUCUCUGCAAAUACGACAGAAUCGGAACUGCACGAGCUCUUCUCACGCUACGGAGUGGUGACCAAUGCAAAGAUCAUACUAGACAGAGCUGGUGUGUCCAAAGGAUAUGGAUUCGUGACGUUUGAGACAGACGAGGAUGCCCAGAGGGCUCAGGCAUCAGGAAAUAACAUAAUGCUCAGGGACCGCAGACUCAACAUCGCUCCAGCAAUCAGAAAGCAGCCAUUUUCGAGGGUGUAUGACCCAACCCAGUCAGUCCAGCCAGGGACGAUUCUGUACCAAAAUGGCGUGCCUUACAUGUACCAUAAUGGCACUGCCUUCUUCCACCCGGAUGCACUUACAUAUCAGUACUCGCCCCCGGCAGCUACUCAGACUUCCACUGCAGCUGUUGCUACAGCCAACACAGCUGUAUCGGGAUACCCGGUUGUGUACCAGCCAUCUGUCUACUACCCACAGCAGGCCUUCCAGUACCCUAAUGUGUGGAAUGCUCCUAAUGGUGGACAGUGGAGGUGGGCCCCACCUGCUACAAGCCAUCCCGCCGCUGCACACCCGGCGUACCUCUAUCCCACCACUCUGGUGAGCCUCGGUAGUGGUGGUAAUCCAGCAUCCAAUGAAGGCCAGGAGUACCAAGACCCAGCCAUCGUGGAGACUGGCUCUGAGGUAGGUGCCGCCAUGAUGCCGAGCACACCAAUGCGCAAGCCAGAUGACAGCGGCGGCACCCCCUCCUCUCUCCUGGCCUCUGCCUCUACAGCAGCAUCGUUGGGCAGCUUCUGGACUAAGGGCCCUUCCAGCCCCUCCGUCCAGCAUGCCACCAGUACUUCCAAUGAGGGCACUGCCACCCCCACCGCCCAAAGCCCGCUUCUUGGAACCGACUCAUCGGUACAGACCCCGCGGCGGCCUCGGGAGCUGGCGCCAAGGCAACGGCGCUAUACCGCACCACCCGAAGCCCUCCUCUCCCUUGAGGAGUAUACCAAAGGUAGUGAACGGGAUCUCCUUGAUGGUCAACCCCAAUCUGGCGAGUCCAGCAAGCAUCCAGGCUCUGGGGCAACCUGGCGUGACUGCCUCUUCGGCACUCCUCCCACCCCCUGCAGCACCCGCUCCCAGUGCCCCUGAAAGCCUGCCUUCUCCACCACUCUCCUCCCCUUCUACCUACUGAUGAUGAUGGGAUGCUAAUGAGCUCAUCUUCUUCCACCACCACCACUUCUUGCCUCGCAGAUCUGUUACAGAUGCCUCAUUCGAAAUCUUAAAAGUAUGCCAACUGCAGCCUACUUUACUUCUUCUCCCAGUUGACAGUACUUUUUAGAUUUCACCUGCCUUUCCACCUGGCAUUUUUUUCGUAUCUGAAUAUUCUCGGACUGUGUCUGCAGGUCAUUUUUUUUUUGCUUGCACAGACCAGUCAAACUUGUUUCCACCCCUGGGGCAUCUCAUCUUACCAGUGUGCCUCACUCUAAGACAUUUCUCAUGGGCAGAUCAUGCAAAAAUGCUACAUUAUUGGCCAACUAGAGCUGCCUUAAAAUGUUCAGCGCUUGGCUAGGCUCCUUUUCUUCAUUAUGUCGAAAGUUAAGCCUUCUUCUCUUGCUCAUCAUACUUUUGUACCUGCAAAGCAAUUGUGGUUCAGCCACCCAAGUAUAGCACUUUCUUGUGGGGGGAGGGGAUUGUACAGGUUUAUUUGCCUGUUGCACAUAGCAUGAUUCUGCCUCUUUAGUUCGGUCACUUCGAUAGUUAAACGUUACUUUGUAUGGGAAAUAGCAAUGCACAACUGGAUAAUGAACAAAUUUGAGUGACCAAUAUGCUAAAUACUUAUACGGAAUACGUAAUCUUUCGCAGGAGAUCUGGGGACAGAAUACCUUUACAAACAGUAGUUAUUUUUUUCAAAGGACAAGCUUUAACCCUACAAUUGCCACGUGCACACAAAUCGGCGAUAGAAACAUUUUCAAGGGAUCUGACUGACGAGGCACAAUUGUGUUGUCUUCUACUGUUCACAUCGUAAGCAAAAAAAAAAAAAAAAUCUGCGCACCCUUUUAAAAAAACGGGAGGGCAAGUGAUAUGUGCUGCUGUUAGCACGUACAGUCGAUUGUUAUUGAAUUGCUUCUUCAAGAAGUUUAUGUGGUGAUGUUCCGAACUGCACUGCAGCCAAACCAAAGUCUUGAUGUUGGAAGUCUUUGUCAUACGCUACACGUGGAAACGAGGCAGUGUUGAAAGUUACAAGAAGCUUUCUGUAGCACAAGCAUUGAUCAAAGGGUCAUUCAUGUGGAUGCAAUACUUUUAAAAGAUGUUAAAAAGAAAUGCUUCUAGUAAUUUUUUUUUUACCUUGCACUUGUUUCUCCUAAAGUGUUUGCAGCCACGUUGUCUCUGGAUAUUUGUGUGUGGAAUGUGUGUCCCUUGAUGUGGUUAUGUUUCAGCGGCAUCACUCUCAACUAUUUAUUUCAACUUCAGCCUUGCUGUUCAUGAUAUGCAACCCUAUUGGUUUUGAACAAGGCGGCUGCUGCUGAAGCGACACACACUGUUCUUACAAAUGUUACGCACACUGUAUGUCCAUGACCGGUUUCUCGAUUUUGUAACUGUACUUGUGUGCGGGUGCCGCAGGUGAAAAAUCUCGGCACUCGCAGAUAUCCAUUGCAGUUGACCCGAGAUUUCAGUUGCAUCUCUCCAUUCGGUACGUUUGCAAAUAUUCAAGUGCCAUUACACAAGCGGUGCAGUCUCGUAUUUGGGACAUAAAGGCGUGGACGUCUUGCUGAGCAACUGGCCGUUCCAUUCUUGGAAUGAUAUUGACAACUUACUUCUUCCGGUAAUUGCCUAGAGCGCACAAAUUGCAAAUGUUUGUAAGUGUCUCUGCCAUAGGUAACCAACCGUGCGCAACCAGAGCACACAAAACACAUCGCUCAAGAAGGCACUUUUCCUAUUGGGGUAGAAAAUUGUCGGUUUUAAAAGAUCUAGCACACAGAGUACCACUGAUUUAUUUUUCUUUUGUUUCUUAGUACGUGUAAAGUGCAGCUUGUCUGUCAGAAUUUAGUCCAGGCACUAUACUUAAUAUAAAACACGCUGUUCAAGCGCUGAAAGCCUGAAGGUCCCUAUGUUCUUUUGUUACGAGUUUCCUGACUCGUACCAAAGGGAUUUCAAAGUCAAAGCGGCAUGCGGGGAAACUGUUUACCCAUUUCAUGCGUGUAUCCAAACAUUUUUUUUUUUUUUUUGCUCUGUCCGUGAUCGGUGUUCCUUCUCUAGAGGCUCGCACAGUACACCUGCGUCUGUGAUUAUGGCGGGCAGCAUCACUCAUCUACUCAGUCGCUGCUUGCGCCUACUUUUUCUGUUACUGUGGUGCCAGAAAAGCUUUUGCGUAAACUGUUGUUACGGUUUUCGUGUAUCGUUCACGGCAGAAUGUGAUACUGUUUGCCUCAUGCGCAGGUAUUUUUGCGUAGCUGUUUUUUUUUUUACACAGUACAAAAGAAUAUUUUUUAGAAGGUCUGUGAUCGACAGCUAGUCCAUUCGCGUGUCAUAUAGCUAUUAAAAAAAAAAACUAUUGCCAUUGGGCAACGGACGCCUGCGUCGGUUGGCCUCGGAAAGUGAGUGAGCAGAUGCGGGAGGCAGAACACAAGAGUACUUCAGGAACAAUGCAACUCAUCCACACUGCAGUCAUUUCUUGAAAAAAGAUCAGACCCUUCACUUCAUGUGCAAUUGUCACUGUUAAAGCGUGCACAAUGUUUUGUAUGCGUAGUUGGCUUGUAUUGUUUGGCGGGAUGGCUCGUGUGUUAUGCUGAGAAGUGGGCAAUCCACACAUUCUAAUGCAUCUGCUACAGCGUUACGCCAAAGAAAGGGUGGUGUGCAAAAGUGUACUAUGUUUGCAAGAUAUUAUUUUUUUCCCUCACCAUUCCUCGUGUCGUCCUUUGUUUCAAACAUCUAUUUGUGCCAAGUAUCCAUAGUAUAUUAUUCCAUCUUGUUUGUGGUGGUCAUGAAAAGUAUGCGAAAGAAAAGACUCAGUCAUGAUCUCAGGUUUUUGCCGGAAGUGGAAGCUCUAUUUCUCGGCUGAUUUUCUUGCACGUGUACACCAAGUGCAAUUGUUUUGUGAGAGUUUUUUUUUACCUCUCUCUCCUGACUUUCAUGCAGUUUGUUUUUUUCUUCUUUCCGUGAGGCAGAGCAAGUGACUUUUCAUGUAUGGAAGAUGUUCUGACAUUGUAAUGUGGUGCUAAUCGCUUUUUUUUUUCCUCAUACCAAAUAUUUUUAUUCGUAUGGAAGAAGGAACAAUAGAGCAUUUUUUUAGCUAGCAUUUUUAUACAAGUGCUUUUUUUUUUCAAAAUGGAGAUUUUUUUUUUAGCAUCAAGUGGCUGGUGUGAAGAAAAAAAAAUUUUCUUGGCCCCUUCUCUGCCUCUAAUAUAAAGUGGCGCCGUUUUGGAGCUCCCGAAAUUACUGUUUACAAUGUGGAGCGUGUAUUUGCUGGUAUAGUAACAAUAAAUAAAAGUGAAUGAGCAUAAUC